rnacentral:rRNA from 1 species
UGAGUAACACGUGGGUGAUCUGCCCUGCACUUCGGGAUAAGCCUGGGAAACUGGGUCUAAUACCGGAUAUGACCUCCUAUCGCAUGGUGGGUGGUGGAAAGAUUUAUCGGUGCAGGAUGGGCCCGCGGCCUAUCAGCUUGUUGGUGGGGUAAUGGCCUACCAAGGCGACGACGGGUAGCCGACCUGAGAGGGUGACCGGCCACACUGGGACUGAGACACGGCCCAGACUCCUACGGGAGGCAGCAGUGGGGAAUAUUGCACAAUGGGCGAAAGCCUGAUGCAGCGACGCCGCGUGAGGGAUGACGGCCUUCGGGUUGUAAACCUCUUUCAGCAGGGACGAAGCGCAAGUGACGGUACCUGCAGAAGAAGCACCGGCUAACUACGUGCCAGCAGCCGCGGUAAUACGUAGGGUGCAAGCGUUGUCCGGAAUUACUGGGCGUAAAGAGUUCGUAGGCGGUUUGUCGCGUCGUUUGUGAAAACCAGCAGCUCAACUGCUGGCUUGCAGGCGAUACGGGCAGACUUGAGUACUGCAGGGGAGACUGGAAUUCCUGGUGUAGCGGUGAAAUGCGCAGAUAUCAGGAGGAACACCGGUGGCGAAGGCGGGUCUCUGGGCAGUAACUGACGCUGAGGAACGAAAGCGUGGGUAGCGAACAGGAUUAGAUACCCUGGUAGUCCACGCCGUAAACGGUGGGCGCUAGGUGUGGGUUCCUUCCACGGAAUCCGUGCCGUAGCUAACGCAUUAAGCGCCCCGCCUGGGGAGUACGGCCGCAAGGCUAAAACUCAAAGGAAUUGACGG